GCCAGAAGCUCCAGGGCGACGUGGACAUUUUGCCACUUCUAAUGGUAGCCGGGAGAGCGACUUAAGUCGCUCGCUGAUAAGUGUGUGUAUAAUUGCUCAGAUAACUCUCAGAGAUGGGGGGUAAAACGGGGCUUCCAAGUGGGGUCUUUUGGAGAUUUUACCACCCACCCACCGCUACCUCCCUUUGCCGUCGUAGCUGCGACCUCCCCGCGGAUUAUGUAAUGGAAGAAAGCGGUUCAACGCGAGUCUUGUUUUGCAACUUGUUGUGAUACUCAUACAGUUAGCGGUCAGUGAUACAUACAGUUGCAUAGUUGGUAAUUGUGGUGAAACCCGUAAACAACAAAAAUACCUGAUCGCAAACUCGCGUGCGGCUGUCUAGGGAAUAGGGGAAGAUGGAGCCACUUCUAAUACAGUUUUCGAAUAAUGAUUUUUGGUAAUACCAAAUAUAUUUUUUUUAUUUUUUAUCUUUUUCAUGACAAUAUAAUUAUUCUCCCGAAUGUACUUGUUCCUCAGAAAGGCAGAAAAUCCUCCAGAAUUCUAAAGAUAUUUUGUUUUACCCAAUUGUCUUACCACUUUCCACUAUAUUUUAGUAGUUUUCAAUUCAAUUCAAUUUGUGUUUUUAUUAGAAUUUAGCAGUUCUGUUCCAGGUGCUACAUUUGCCAUUCAGAGAUUUGGAGAACCUUUGAGCUGCGAUCAUUUCAUAAGCCUUUGCAGGGAGGGUACAUAUUUUUACGUUUAGGAUUUUAGAGAAAA